AUAUUACAGGGACUUGUACUAUAAUGACAUUUUUGUAAUAUCAAACAAUGCUUUUGAAGACCUUGUCAGCUUGCAGACUCUGAUAUUGUCGCAUUGUAAGCUACUCUACGUGCAAGGAAAUGUUUUUCUGUACAAUAUGAAUUUAUUACAACUGGACUUAGGAAGUAACGAUAUAUCAACGAUUGAAGACACAGCAUUUGGUCAAUUACGGAAUCUUAUAACA